UACGAAGGGGGCUAGCGUUGUUCGGAAUUACUGGGCGUAAAGCGCACGUAGGCGGACAUUUAAGUCAGGGGUGAAAUCCCGGGGCUCAACCCCGGAACUGCCUUUGAUACUGGGUGUCUUGAGUCCGGAAGAGGUGAGUGGAAUUGCGAGUGUAGAGGUGAAAUUCGUAGAUAUUCGCAGGAACACCAGUGGCGAAGGCGGCCAACUGGAUCAUUACUGACGCUGAGGCGCGAAAGCGUGGGGAGCAAACAGG
rnacentral:rRNA from 1 species